rnacentral:rRNA from 1 species
CCUACGGGAGGCAGCAGCAAGGAAUUUUCCGCAAUGGGCGCAAGCCUGACGGAGCAACGCCGCGUGCGGGAUGACGCGCUUCGGCGUGUAAACCGCUGUUCGGGGGGACGAAGCACUGACGGUACCCCCGGAGGAAGGCCCGGCUAACUACGUGCCAGCAGCCGCGGUAAUACGUAGGGGUCGAGCGUUGUCCGGAGUUACUGGGCGUAAAGCGUGCGCAGGCGGCUUCCUGCGCCCGGCGUGAAAGCCCCCGGCUCAACCGGGGAGGGUCGUCGGGGACGGGGAAGCUUGAGGGUCGCAGGGGCUGGUGGAAUUCCCGGUGUAGUGGUGAAAUGCGUAGAGAUCGGGAGGAACACCCGUGGCGAAGGCGGCCAGCUGGGCGACACCUGACGCUGAGGCACGAAGGCGUGGGGAGCGAACGGGAUUAGAUACCCUAGUAG